AUCUGCCUUUGAGCGGGGGACAACACCUUUAAACGAAUGCUAAUACCGCAUAAAAACUUUAAACACAAGUUUUAAGUUUGAAAGAUGCAAUUGCAUCACUCAAAGAUGAUCCCGCGUUGUAUUAGCUAGUUGGUGAGGUAAAGGCUCACCAAGGCGAUGAUACAUAGCCGACCUGAGAGGGUGAUCGGCCACAUUGGGACUGAGACACGGCCCAAACUCCUACGGGAGGCAGCAGUAGGGAAUCUUCGGCAAUGGACGAAAGUCUGACCGAGCAACGCCGCGUGAGUGAAGAAGGUUUUCGGAUCGUAAAACUCUGUUGGUAGAGAAGAACGUUGGUGAGAGUGGAAAGCUCAUCAAGUGACGGUAACUACCCAGAAAGGGACGGCUAACUACGUGCCAGCAGCCGCGGUAAUACGUAGGUCCCGAGCGUUGUCCGGAUUUAUUGGGCGUAAAGCGAGCGCAGGUGGUUUAUUAAGUCUGGUGUAAAAGGCAGUGGCUCAACCAUUGUAUGCAUUGGAAACUGGUAGACUUGAGUGCAGGAGAGGAGAGUGGAAUUCCAUGUGUAGCGGUGAAAUGCGUAGAUAUAUGGAGGAACACCGGUGGCGAAAGCGGCUCUCUGGCCUGUAACUGACACUGAGGCUCGAAAGCGUGGGGAGCAAACAGGAUUAGAUACCCUGGUAGUCCACGCCGUAAACGAUGAGUGCUAGAUGUAGGGAGCUAUAAGUUCUCUGUAUCGC
rnacentral:rRNA from 1 species